UCAAAGCUUUAAAAAUAUUCUAUAAGUUCGUAGAUUCAAGAGCGUAAGAUUUACAUCCCUAUAACUACAAGGGAUGUACAGAUUCAAAUUUAUAACUGCAAUUUUGGCCCUAUCCCCGCCACGCAGGUGCCACAUCAAGGCCACGCAAGCUGGCUGUAGAGGGGCGUUAAGUUGAAUACGAUGAAUCAUCUGCCGUAUUCUAUACUUAUAUUCCACGGUAAAUCCGUCUUUAGACACGGUGAAUGGAUUACCAUAUUCAAUUUAUUCCAGCACCUCCAC
rnacentral:lncRNA from 1 species